UACGUAGGUGGCAAGCGUUGUCCGGGUUUAUUGGGUUUAAAGGGUGCGUAGGCGGCCUUGUAAGUCAGUGCUGAAAUAUCCCGGCUUAACCGGGAGGGUGGCAUUGAUACUGCAGGGCUUGAGUAAAGUUGAGGUUGGCGGAAUUGACGGUGUAGCGGUGAAAUGCUUAGAUAUCGUCAAGAACACCGAUAGUGAAGACAGCUUACUAGACUUCAACUGACGCUGAGGCACGAAAGUGUGGGGAUCAAACAGG
rnacentral:rRNA from 1 species